GAAAUAUGAUCAAGAUAUUAUAAGAUAUAUUUUUUCUUUUCUAACACUCUCCCUCCACCUAAAGCUUACUUAGCUUUUAGUUUGUUACAAAACUAUUCAUUAGAAAAAGAAAAACUAAGAGGGGUCUAGCUGAUUAUUUGGCAAGGACAAACUGAUUCUCUAAGAUUGUUGCGGGCCAGUUGAUUUAGCGAACAAAACUAUACAGUGAACUAGGCUGAAAGACCACAAAUCAGGGGGACAUGCGCUAAAUAAUGGGCCAGUAACAGUACACCCAAAACCAAAACAAAGCUGAGACAACAGCAAACCAGCAGCAGCAAAAUAGGAACACCUAAACAGAGAAAACAAAGCAGCUUGAUGCUACACAAAACCAUGAAACAGAGAAGACAAAACGCUCAAACACAGUACAAGUACUCAAAUUAGGAAAAUACAAGGAAACUACCAUACCAAAGAAUAACACGAAAGAAUCAUGGACUAACUGUAACUAAAACACCCUAGGUUCAAAAAAUCAUGGACAAGUCAGUUACAACUUACAACUUAAAAUCAAUAUCUUAGUCUAACCAUAAUUAAAACACCCUAGGCUGAAAGUACCAAGAAGUGCAAAAAGACCAACAAACUUUUC
rnacentral:lncRNA from 1 species